rnacentral:rRNA from 1 species
GGGGGCGACCAUACCAUCACUAAUGCACUGGAUCCCAUCAAAACUCUGCGGUUAACCGUGCACGGGCAAAACUGGUACUAGCAUGGUGACAUCCAAGGAAGUCCUCGUGUUGCGCCCC